AACGAACGCUGGCGGCAUGCCUAACACAUGCAAGUCGAACGAGACCUUCGGGUCUAGUGGCGCACGGCUGCGUAACGCGUGGGAACCUGCCCUUAGGUUCGGAAUAACUCCCCGAAAGGGGUGCUAAUACCGGAUAAUGUCCUCGGACCAAAGAUUUAUCGCCCCGGGAUGGGCCCGCGUUGGAUUAGCUAGUUGGUAGGGUAAAAGCCUACAAAGGCUACGAUCCAUAGCUGGUCUGUGAGGAGGAUCAGCCACCCUGGGCAUGAGACACGGCCCAGACACCUCCGGGGGGCUGCGUGGGGGUAUAUGGGAGCAUUGGCGAGAGCAGGAGCCCGCCCUGCCGGGUGAUUGAGAACUGCUGUAGGGCUGUAAAGCUCUUCUACCGGGUAUGAUAAUCAUGGCCCCGGGAGAAUAUACCCGGGCGACCCCCG
rnacentral:rRNA from 1 species